rnacentral:rRNA from 1 species
CUAACCAGGAUUCCCCCAGUAACGGCGAGUGAAGCGGGAAGAGCUCACGUUGUAAAUCUGACUUUCGGGUCCGAAUUGUAGUCUGGAGAGGCGUGACCAGCUGGGGACGGGGGCGAAGUCUCUUGGAAAAGAGCAUCAAGGAGGGUGACAAUCCCGUUCUUGCCUCCGUAACCCCACGCGUACGGUCCGUUUUCUACGAGUCGAGUUGCUUGGGAUUGCAGCUCAAAGCGGGUGGUAAAUUCCAUCUAAAGCUAAACACGGGAGGGAGACCGAUAGCGAACAAGUACCGUGAGGGAAAGAUGCAAAGAACUUUGAAAAGAGAGUUAAAGAGUGCCUGAAAUUGCUGAAAGGGAAGCGAAGGAAACCAGUGUCUGGCAGUGUCCGCUUAUCCUUUSCCCUUAGGGGCACUGGCUCGCGUUCCUGCCGUGGCCAGGGCCGGGUGGCGUUGCGGGAGCCUGCGCCGUGGAAGGUAGCAUCUCUUCGGAGUGUGAAGACCUCGGCGUGUCGUCGCGAUGCCGGCCGGUUCUGACGAAAUGGUUUUCUUUACCCCGUCUUGAAACACGGACCAAGGAGUCUAACAUGCCCGCGAGUACAGGGGUGUUCAAACCCCCGUGCGCAGUGAAAGUGAAUGCAGGUGGGAAGCCGCAAG